rnacentral:rRNA from 1 species
CCUACGGGCGGCAGCAGUGAGGAAUAUUGGUCAAUGGGCGUAAGCCUGAACCAGCCAAGUCGCGUGAGGGAUGAAGGCUCUAUGGAUCGUAAACCUCUUUUAUAAGGGAAUAAAGUGUGGGCCAUGUCCUAUUUUGUAUGUACCUUAUGAAUAAGGAUCGGAUAACUCCGUGCCGGCAGCCGCGGUAAUACGGCGGAUCCGAGCGUUAUCCGGAUUUAUUGGGUUUAAAGGGUGGUUAGGCGGCGUUUUAAGUCAGUGGUGAAAGUUUGUGGCUGAACCAUAGAAUUGACGUUGAAACUGGGGGGCUUGAGUAUGUUUGAGGCAGGUGGAAUGCGUGGUGUAGCGGUGAAAUGCUUAGAUAUCACGCAGAACCCCGAUUGCGAAGGCAGCCUGCUAAGCCAUGACUGACGCUGAUGCACGAAAGCGUGGGGAUCAAACAGGAUUAGAUACCCCUGUAGUC